GAGGGUAUAGCUCAGUGUUAGAGCAUGUGCUUAGCAUGCAUGAGGUCCUGGGUUCAAUCCCCUGUAACUCCA
rnacentral:tRNA from 1 species